UUUCCGUAGGUGAACCUGCGGAAGGAUCAUUAUCAAACAGCGGCCUUCGGGCCUUGCUGCACCCUUGUCUUUUUGCGUACUUAUCGUUUCCUCGGCGGGCUUGCCUGCCGGUUGGACAACUUUAUAACCUUUUUUUUAAAUCUUCAAUCAGCGUCUGAACAAUAUACAAUAAUUACAACUUUCAACAACGGAUCUCUUGGUUCUGGCAUCGAUGAAGAACGCAGC
rnacentral:misc_RNA from 1 species